rnacentral:rRNA from 1 species
CGAGAAUUUUUCACAAUGGGCGCAAGCCUGAUGGAGCGACGCCGCGUGGGGGAUGAAGGGUUUCGAUCCGUAAACCCCUGUCAUUUGCGAACAAACCUUGAUUGUGAAUAGCGAUCGAGCUGAUUGUAGCGGAAGAGGAAGGGACGGCUAACUCUGUGCCAGCAGCCGCGGUAAUACAGAGGUCCCAAGCGUUGUUCGGAUUCACUGGGCAUAAAGGGUGCGUAGGUGGUCGGUGAAGUUCGGUGUGAAAGCUCGGAGCUCAACUCCGAAACGGCAUUGAAAACUCAUCGGCUGGAGGGUCGGAGGGGAGACUGGAAUUCUCGGUGUAGCAGUGAAAUGCGUAGAUAUCGAGAGGAACACCAGUGGCGAAGGCGAGUCUCUGGACGACUCCUGACACUGAGGCACGAAAGCCAGGGGAGCAAACAG